CGCUCCGAUCAACCCGCAGGGUCGACAGACCAGGGCUCACCGCCCCGGACCGAAGAACAGAUAAAUGCGCAGCCGCCACGGACUGCGUCGAACAAGAAAUUUCGGAUGUACGCGCACCUCGGAGUGAGGUGUGAAAUUCC
rnacentral:sRNA from 1 species